rnacentral:rRNA from 1 species
GUCAGGCGGGGGCUACCCGCUAGAGUUUAAAUCAUAUAAGAAU